GUGACGGCGUCGGCGGAGCGCGAUGUGACGAUGAAAUAUGAACUGUUUUAUUGCCUCUAAGAAGCUCCGAACACACUACCAAUCCACCUGUCGCCGAGAUGACGACCUCAUCAAGGUUUAAAACAGAAUUUACCGGUAAUUUAUGUAGGAUCGACUGUAGCCAAUUUCCGCUAUUAAGAAGACAGCAUGCGGCAGUGGCACAGGGCACACAGAAAUGGCGGGAUUUGGUGGAGGCACACAGAUAAAAAGAAACAUAAAUGUAUUAUAAUGUAUCUAGUAUAAAUAAGAGAGCAGAAAUCAAAGACUUUAUUAUGAUUAUAAUUAUUGUCUUAGAAAACCCGUUGUCCGCAAAGUAGUGUAAUAUACUAGCUGAUCCUGCGAGCUUCGUAGCGUAACAGUCAAUGUCGUGUUUUAGACUAGCCGAAUAUAUUGUACGAUUUUAUUAAAGUAAUACAAUGAAUACAAAUAAAUAUUAUGUUUACGAAUAACGAAUUGCAAUACUCAACGUUACAAUGAGCCUUGA